rnacentral:tRNA from 1 species
UCCCCGAUAGCUCAAUUGGUAGAGCGCCGGACUGUUAAUCCGUAGGUUCCUGGUUCGAGUCCAGGUCGGGGAGCCA